GACGAACGCUGGCGGCGUGCUUAACACAUGCAAGUCGAACGGAAAGGCCCUGCUUUUGUGGGGUGCUCGAGUGGCGAACGGGUGAGUAACACGUGAGUAACCUGCCCUUGACUUUGGGAUAACUACAGGAAACUGGGGCUAAUACCGGAUAGGAGCUCCUGCUGCAUGGUGGGGUUUGGAAAGUUUCGGCGGUUGGGGAUGGACUCGCGGCUUAUCAGCUUGUUGGUGGGGUAGUGGCUUACCAAGGCUUUGACGGGUAGCCGGCCUGAGAGGGUGACCGGCCACAUUGGGACUGAGAUACGGCCCAGACUCCUACGGGAGGCAGCAGUGGGGAAUAUUGCACAAUGGGCGGAAGCCUGAUGCAGCAACGCCGCGUGCGGGAUGACGGCCUUCGGGUUGUAAACCGCUUUCGCCUGUGACGAAGCGUGAGUGACGGUAAUGGGUAAAGAAGCACCGGCUAACUACGUG
rnacentral:rRNA from 1 species